GCCACGGCCUCCCGAGCCCGACGCCAUGGCCGCUGCGGCCGGGGACGGCGCGGUGAAGCCGCUGCAGUGCGCCAUGAAGCUGGCCAACGGGGCCAUCGAGCUGGACACCGGCAACCGGCCCCGGGAGGCAUAUACAGAAUACCUGAGGAGCAUCCACUAUAUCUCCCAGGUGCUGCUGGAAGAAGUGGAAACCACCAAAGAAGGUGGCGACCCUGUGGCCCCAGAUACCUCAAAGAUGCUGAAACUGGCUGAGCAGUGUCUGGAGAGGGCCCAGUCGACAGCUGCCAAGCUCGGGAAAACACACCUGAAGCCAGCCACGCCCGUGGGUGCUCCUGGCCCCUCGUCUACCAGCCGACAUCGCCGGGUGUACUCAGAUGAAGGGGGGAGACUAUCUCCGUUUCUGCCGCCCGAGAUCUUCCAGAAGCUUCAGGCGGCAGAGUCACAAAGUUCCAAAAAGGAGCUGACACCUCUGGAGGAGGCCUCUCUGCAAAACCAGAAGCUGAAGGCCGCCUACGAGGCACGGAUGGCCCGUCUGGACCCCAGCCAGGCCAUGCAGAAGACAUCCCUGACCCUGUCCCUGCAGCGGCAGAUGAUGGAGAACCUUGUGAUCGCCAAAGCCCGGGAGGAGACACUGCAGAGGAAGAUGGAGGAGCGCCGGCUGCGGCUCCAGGAGGCAGCCAACAGGAGGUUCUGCAGUCAAGUUGCCCUGAGCCCGGAGGAGCGGGAGCAGCGGGCCCUCUAUGCCGCCAUCCUCGAGUACGAGCAAGACCACGACUGGCCGAAGCACUGGAGGGCCCAGCUCAAGAAGAGCCCAGGGGACCUGUCGCUAGUGACCAGCCUGGUCUCCCACCUGCUCAGCACUCCCGACCACCCCAUCUCGCAGCUCCUGAAGAAGCUCCAGUGUGCGGUGUACCGGGCGCUGUACCCCAUCGUGAGCAGGGGCGCUGUUGGCGCUGCCUCUGCCCCUGGCUGCCGUUCCUUGCCCCCAGACGCCGACGGGCUGCUGGCUCCGGGAAGCCGGCGGCUCCGGCCCUCGCAGAGCCUCUACUGCAUGCUCUCCCCUGCGGAGCCCAGCCCAGCCCUGCGGCCCCCAGACGGCACUCAGGCCGGCCCCCCAGACAGAGGGCCAGACAGCAGCCCUGCCGGGCCUCCCUCACCCCUGGCACAUAGCUUGACCGGUGUGCAGGGCAAAGACAGCUCCUUUGAAGACCUCGAACACUUCUUGGCUACUUCUGAGGGGUGGGGCCGGGGGCGUGGGAGGCCGCCUGAGCCCCACACAACGGGGGUGAAGAAGGAGCCGCUGCUGGAGCAGCUGAAGAGCACUGUGAAGGACAUACACAACGCCAUCGACAGGCUGCUCUCGCUCACCCUCCUGGCUUUCGAAGGCCUGAACGUGGCCGCCUCCAAGGACCGAUGUCUGGCCUGCAUCGAGGAGCCCUUCUUCUCUCCACUAUGGCCCCUGCUGCUGGUACUCUAUAGGAGUGUGCACCGCCUCCGGGAGGCCGCCCUGAGCAGAAGCAUGGAGCUCUACAGGAAUGCACCCCCAGCCGCCAUAGGCAUUCCCAGGAAGCUCCUCCCCCGGGACCUGGAGGCCACAGGAGCUGGUGCCUACCCCUACUGUGCUGCAGCCCAAGAGCUGGGCUUGCUGGUCCUGGAGAGCUGCCCCCAGAAGAAGCUGGAGUGCAUUGUGCGGGUCCUGCGGGUCAUCUGUGCCUGUGCCGAGGAUUACUACCAGGCCCAGGAGGCUGCCCCUGAGGCCAAACCCCCAGUGGGUGCCGCAGCCAUCGGUGCCGACGACCUGCUGCCCAUCUUGUCCUUUGUGGUGCUGAGAAGCGGUCUCCCCCAGUUGGUGUCAGAGUGUGCAGCCCUGGAGGAGUUCAUCCAUGAGGGGUAGGAGCCCCCGGCUGGAGUCAGGCCAGCAUGAUGCACUGAGCACGUGCUCCCAGGUACCUGAUUGGAGAGGAGGGUUACUGCCUGACGUCACUACAGAGUGCCCUGAACUACGUGGAGCUACUGCCCCGGGGGGCCCUGGGCAAGUAGAGGAGAACAGGACCUGCUGAGGACCAUCCAGGAGUCACCUGCUGGGGUGGGGGGGCACUAGGCCAGCUGUGGUGGGGCUCUGCAGCUCUCACACUUGCCCUAACCUGACAUCUGCCCCCAGGGACUUGAGGAGUCACCGCUGUUCCUCAGAGGCACCAGCUCCUAAGAAGUAGGCCCAUCUCUUUCUUGUCUCAGACUGAGAGGCUUUGUGCACGAACAGCAGAGCUGUGGACUCCCCCUGGGGCCUGUACACGUGUCCUCACAGCCCCAGCCACUCAGCAGUAGGGAGGGCGCCUUGGGCCUGGCAGAGGGCAGGUCUGGUUUCUCUCUCUUCCCAUCCCUGUGACAGUCAGCUUCCAGCACCAGUCGCUUGUUAGAGUCAAGAAGAGGGCCUGGCCCCUUCCCCUGCCUCCCACCCAAGGGCUGGGGCCCAGGUGGUUUGAAACUGUGCUGUUCACUUACUGGGCAUUGAUCAUUCCAUUCUCCUCUGGAGCCCAGGCACCCCCAGGGCACCCACCCGUGUCUGGGGCCUCUGAGCCACUCCGGCCCUUGGCACGGUAGGCAUUGGACCCCUGGCCAAUUCCCAUCCCCGCAUGUCCCCUUCUGGGUCAGCGUGAACCCAAGGGUCAGUGCCUGCCUGCAGCCCAGCGCCCACUUUGUUACGUGCCCCGGGCAGCCACUGACACAGCCAAAAAUAAAGAGGUCACUGAUCUCUCGUGCUGCA